AAUUUUGUUCACACUCUGAAGUGACUGAGGAACACAGAGCUGGAACUGUCCCAUUUGGGCAGAUAUACAUGAAUUUUAGUUGUGCAAGAUGAAAAAAGUUCUGGAGAUGGAUGGUUAUGAUGAUGGUACCAUGAUGUGAAUGUAAUUAAAUGCCACUGAACGAUACAGUUAAAAAUGGUUAAAAUGAUAAACUAAACUCAGAAUUUUCCACCAGCAGACCUGCAUUAAAACAAGCAAGUGAGAAUAAAAACAACAUAAAUGAUGUUUUCAAACAGAAGAAAUAUGGCAAUACACCUGAAAGAUACAAGAAGAAAUAAAAAGAAGGUCAUCUCAUUUUGCCAAAAUGGCAAAAAGCAAACAAAAAAUUACAGUAUCUGCAUAAAAUAAACCUUUCCAAGAGUCAGUA